rnacentral:misc_RNA from 1 species
GCCAGGGUCGUCCUGUGUGACCUUCCGUCCAGUGAUGGAGAGAAGGUCGCCAAACAGAUGGACAACUGCAUGUUUUUGCCUGCUGAUAUCACCUCGGAAAAAGAAGUCAAGGAAGUUCUAAGAGCUACAAUGGAAAACUACAAAUGUUUGGAUGUGUUGGUGAACUGUGCGGGAAUUGGUGUGGCCAGGAAAACGUACAGCAUCCAGAAAAACCUCCCCCACCCUCUCGAUGAGUUCGAGAGGGUGUUAAAGGUUAACACAUUGGGAACUUUUAACAUGAUACGUCAGGCGGUGAUUCUGAUGGCACAGAACGAGCCCAAUGAGGACAAGGCCCGAGGGGUGAUCAUCAACACCUCCAGUGUCGCCGCAUUUGAUGGACAGAUGGGUCAGGUGGCUUAUGCAGCGAGUAAGGCCGCAAUCGCAGGAAUGACACUACCCUUAGCUCGAGACAUCGGAGAGUUUGGAAUCCGAGUGUGUACAAUCUGUCCAGGUGUAUUCGACACUCCUUUGCUAGCAGCCUUGCCACAGAAAGCAAUUGAUGCCCUGACCAAAACAGUUGUUUUUCCACAGAGACUUGGAAAACCUGAUGAAUUUGCACAGAUGUGUCAAACAAUUGUUGAAAAUCCUUAUCUGAAUGGAGAAACAAUCCGAUUGGAUGGAGCUCUCCGAAUGGUAUGACAGUCCUCAAUUCCUAUUGGAUCAGGAUUGCUUAUUGUGAUGUCAUAGACUGAGAGAGCUGUAAACUGAGAGCAUUGUGAGGUUUUGAUUGGGCAAACUAAUGCAAAAUGACAACCAAUCAUAUGAAAGUUGUGAACAAAGAUUUUUUUGUUUCAUAGCUGUAAUGUGAUCCAAGAAAUUAAACAAGAUGAAAAUGCUGUGAUGUGUUUUUGAUACCCUACAAAUUUUUGUACAAUAAAAUGUUGAAAAAUU